UCCCGUUGGUUCCACAGGGUAUUCAUUGACUGAGGCGUUUCGGGGAGGAAACGUCCGCUCGUCAAAGAGCGAAAAGAAGCCCGCCGCGAUGUAUCCCCCGCGGCGGGCUUUUUUGCGUC
rnacentral:sRNA from 1 species